UGAGGAAUAUUGGUCAAUGGGCGCAAGCCUGAACCAGCCAUCCCGCGUGCAGGAAGACGGCGCUAUGCGUUGUAAACUGCUUUUCCAGGGAGAGAAACUUGCGCACGUGUUGCGCAAUUGACGGUACCCUGGGAAUAAGCAUCGGCUAACUCCGUGCCAGCAGCCGCGGUAAUACGGAGGAUGCGAGCGUUAUCCGGAUUCAUUGGGUUUAAAGGGUGCGUAGGCGGACUAUUAAGUCAGUGGUGAAAUCCUGCAGCUUAACUACAG
rnacentral:rRNA from 1 species